CUGCUGUGAUGAUGCCCAAAAAUGUGGUUUCAACUCACUGAAUUCUGUGAAGACGACAUUUCCUUGGCUGUGUCUGAGCUC